GAAAGAGAAGAAAAAGAAGAAGAAGAAGGAGAGCAAGGGAGAGGGGGACGCCGACGACAGCAGCAGCAGCAGCUCUGACAGCGACUCUGAAGAGGACAACAAGAAGAAAAAGAAGGAGGAUAAAGAAUAACUUUGCUGGAGUUAGUGCAGGCCACAUCUGUACUUCCUACAAUUUUACAAGGGCUGGACAGAGCACAGGAAACAGCAUCUGCAGAACAAGACUAGUCCCGGAAAUGCAAUUCUGAUGACUGCAUCCCAAUAAAGCUGCUUGCAUGCUGCAGAGA